ACCUGGAUGUGAUCUUGUUGAUGGGCAACCGUAGUUGUAGCUUGCUUGAUGAAGAUUGACCUGACCGAUGUGCGUGCACUGAGCAACAGAGAAAUGCGCGCUGGGGCGCGGGUUAGUGAAUGUAUGGUCUCACCAGGUUUCACUUCAGCCCUACAACCAUGGACGAGGCGUGGGGAAAUAAAAUCCAUCAAACUCAAUCAGCUCACAAUCAUGGUGAAUCGAUUAAGCAGCAACAACUUGAAUCACCGCAUCGCGACUUGCUUAUGUUCUUGGAGCCUUUAUUGGUGAUGAGCAGGUUGCUGCUAGUAAUGCUUUAGUGGAUUACAUUUUCAUAGGCAAUUUUAGUGCCAUUCAUUAGGCAACAAUGUCUUCCUAAUUUUACAAUUUUGUUAUUUAAAAAAGCAAGUGCAGUGUCCGUGUUCAUUUGCAACCCACAACCCCAUCCCUAACCCUGAUUUAUUUAAAAAAAACAUAUCAAACAGAGGCAAGGUGAUGAUGUAAAAAACAGAGGUGAUGUUUUCAAAGUAGGCUGCUAUGGUACAUACACAUAUUCUAGAGCGCAACGAGCAUUUUCAGCACCCAUACAACAUAAGGCUUUUUUAAAUGUUGCCGCAUAAUCAUUAAUUGCAAGAAAAUAUUACAGAACUCAAUCAUAAUUAUUUAUCAAACUAAAACAUUAAGGUUGAAGCUAUUCUGAAUGUAGCAUGCCUGGCAAUCUGCAACAGAAGGCUAACUUGCCCAUUUAGAAGUACAUUGUUGCAUAAUAAAUGAUACUUAAAUUGCCUAACAAAUGACACAUGGAGCAGGGCGUAGAAAGAACGGAUGCUGAAGGGAUGGGGUAUGCUACCGUUGAAAAACAAGCUCGAGCCCGUAUCUGGUGUAAGGAAGAUGGAGGGGGCACAGCCACCGGAGAGGCUGCACAACCAAAGGGGCUCCACAGGUUCUAGGAUACAUCCUCAGUAAUCUAAAAUCUCAUGUAGGUUUUCUCAUGAGCAAUUUAAGUAUCAUUCAUUAGGUAAUAAUGUCUUCCUAAAAAUAGGCAAUUUAUGUAUUCUCAUAGUGUUUGUGUUCAUUUGCAACCCACGGUCCCACCCCCAGUUUAUUUGCAAAAAAUACAUAGCUAUGUUUUUAUUUUUUUAUGCAUCACAUCUAUUUAUGUAACAGGCAAAAAUACAGAUUAAGCAGAGGCAAGGUGACGAUGUAAAAAAUAAGUUAUGUACAAAAGGCAGACUAGAUUAAUGACUCAACAGAAAUAAUCAGCAUAACAAUAGAAAAAAAGAGAGAAUGAUCUAUCUGCAAUAAUAUGUUACCUGCAUUAGUCAACACCUCCCAAUCUGCGCUUCCCUACUUGAGAAAUGGAAUCUCAAGCUUCCCCUUGUCACCUACACAAGAAAUGGGAUCGCAGGCUCCCCUUGUCACCCGGGCAUGAUUCAAAUCACAUAGAGAGCAUAGUAACGCUUGAAAAUUAAAGGAGACAUACAGUAAAAAGAGAGGAGGUUAUAGGCACAUUUUUGGUGUUGGACACAAAUAAUUGCCACUGGAUUACUAAUAACAUGCACGGCUAAUGAUAUUAAAUUACUUAACUAAUUUUACAUGCACAUUUUUGGGUGGUUCUCAACUGCUCGUCUACACUUUCAUAUAGCCUAUUGCACACUCCAACUUUUCUGCAGCAGAAAUUUAAGUUUCAUUUGUUAGGCAACAAUGUCUUCUUAAAUAGGCAAUUUAUGUAUUCUGAAAAAACGUCCAAUGCAGUUUUGUUGUAAUGUUGAACUGAACAAGAAUUCAUCUGAUCAUAUGACCAACUACAGCUUAUGAUUCUCACAUGAACAAUAAUAAGUAAUUUUCAGCGAUCAUUGAUCUUAGAUGCACAUUUACUCCUAUACGAAUUGCAGUCUAAGGAAAAUUAAACAUCCAAAAAUACAAACAUGCUAGUAACAAUUCUAAAAUUGAAAAUAGGCACACAUACAAAAAUAAUAGAAUAUAUGUACAGUAUCAAGCGAAAUGAUUGAUAGCGAUCAGAUGCUAAGAAACAAGAUGCAUAAAUCAACCC
rnacentral:lncRNA from 1 species